UGGAUAGUUUUAUCAUAGGUCCCUUGUCCAU
rnacentral:piRNA from 1 species